rnacentral:rRNA from 1 species
UACAGAGGAGCCAAGCGUUGUCCGGAUUUACUGGGCGUAAAGCGCACGUAGGCGGAUCGUUAAGUCGGGGGUGAAAUCCUGGAGCUCAACUCCAGAACUGCCUUCGAUACUGGCGAUCUUGAGUCCGGAAGAGGUGAGUGGAACUCCUAGUGUAGAGGUGGAAUUCGUAGAUAUUAGGAAGAACACCAGUGGCGAAGGCGGCUCACUGGUCCGGUACUGACGCUGAGGCGCGAAAGCGUGGGGAGCAAACAGGG